GUAGAGACUUGAGACUUCUAAUCUAGGACGACUUGUAUUCUUGUUGGGAGAAGAUCAAUCGAUGGGAAAGUUCAAAAGGGUUUGUGUGUUUUGUGGAAGUAAUUCUGGGAAUAGAAAGAUAUUCAGUGAGGCAGCUCUUGAUCUUGGCAGACAAUUGGUUGAGAGGAAGAUGGAUUUAGUGUAUGGAGGAGGAAGUGUUGGGCUGAUGGGAUUGGUUUCCCAGACAGUUUAUGAUGCUGGAUGCCAAGUUCUUGGAAUUAUCCCAGAAGCACUUGUUCCACUUGAGAUAUCAGGGCAGUCAGUGGGAGAAGUGAUGAUCGUGUCAGAUAUGCACGAAAGAAAAGCAGAGAUGGCUCGCAGAGCAGAUGCUUUCAUUGCACUUCCUGGAGGAUAUGGAACGUUGGAAGAGUUGCUCGAGAUGAUAACAUGGUCUCAACUUGGAAUCCAUGACAAACCUGUAGGUCUCCUAAACGUGGAUGGAUACUACGAUUGCCUGCUCGGAUUGUUUGACAAAGGAGUAGAAGAAGGAUUUAUCAAGCCAUCUGCAAGGAACAUCAUCGUAUCAACAAAGAAUGCGCGAGAGCUGCUACAGAAGAUGGAGGUAUCUGUAUGACCCAGCACCAUAGCAAACAAAAGUUCUUGCUUUCAAACUAGAUUAUCAACUGCAACUGAAACUGCAAUUGAGAACUACAUACUACAGAGCAGACGGGAAUACAUUCCUCUACAUGAUCAAGUGGCGGCAAGACAAAAUUGGAACACAGAAGAAAACCACAACACUAACUGUAGCUGUUUACCCUCUUGAUCAUACACUAUGUAAAGAAGGAUUCUAAUAUAGUAAUCCUACUUAAUGGAUGAUUCUUGGUUCUUACUGAAAUAAGGCAAGGCAGAAAAGGGAAGACACAUUGUACAGUGCCUCAAAUGGCGCUACUUGUGCAGGCGAAUCCCAUAGCUUUCAACAGCUAUACUGACAUCCAGAAAUAAUACACAAGAUUGCAUUGCCCA